rnacentral:rRNA from 2 species
AAAUUGAAGAGUUUGAUCAUGGCUCAGAUUGAACGCUGGCGGCAGGCCUAACACAUGCAAGUCGAACGGUAACAGAAAG